rnacentral:rRNA from 1 species
UACGUAGGGCGCGAGCGUUGUCCGGAUUUAUUGGGCGUAAAGAGCUCGUAGGCGGCUUGUCGCGUCGACUGUGAAAACUCGGGGGCUCAACUCCGAGCUUGCAGUCGAUACGGGCAGGCUAGAGUUCGGUAGGGGAGACUGGAAUUCCUGGUGUAGCGGUGAAAUGCGCAGAUAUCAGGAGGAACACCGGUGGCGAAGGCGGGUCUCUGGGCCGAUACUGACGCUGAGGAGCGAAAGCGUGGGGAGCGAACAGG